UAUCAAUGGUGCUAUCAAUGGUGCUAUCAAUGGUGCUAUCAAUGAUGCUAUGAACUGAAUCCGGACAAAUGUGCUCUACCUGUCCACCUGCUGUUGAUGGACACCUGUUCAGCUGGACUUUUACCGGACACGUUUCAACGUGAAGGAGGGCUUCUGGACGCGUCACCUGAGUAGCGUUAGCAUCCAGCUAACAACAGGCUCAAACAAACAAAGCCAAACAAGACAGCAGCCUCAUGUUCCUGUUUUUUGGGGCUGCAAUUGUUCCAGUGGGCAUGGACGCGUAUCCAUACGAAGAGAAGAAAGAGAUAUAACAGCAUCGACCAAAAGAUAAUUCAACCUCCAGUUGUGAAGCAUGAAAUUGCACAGAGCAGUGACAUUUGGAUUCCUUGCAUUGGCUCCUGUUAGACCUGGAGUCAGACCUGCGCCCUGGCUGAUAAAGCAGCAUGCAUCACAGACAGGGAUUCUCCAGGCAGCGCACUGAUGGCAGGUCCAACGGGAUGACUGUCUGCCAUCUGUCCAGACAAAUGGAGGCAGGAGGAGUGUGGUCUUUUCAAAGGCCGCCAGCGAAAAACCUGAUGGAUGCACAAAUGAACACACAGAGGAGAGAAGUCGCGAUGCGGAGCCUGCAAUGUUUUAAUUACAGCUCUUUCCUCCUCCUCGACAAACAUAAAGGGGGAUUUCUGUCACAUGCUCUCCCUCUCCUCUCCACCUCUCUCUGCACAGCUUGGUGAGCUGGCAUUAAUUGCUCCAGAAGCUGUGGAAGCACAACAAGUGCUUCUCAUCCUGGUGUAAUUGUGUCUGUAGGAGUUUGGGGGGGCUUGAGGAGAAAAAGUCUUUGUGGUGCUUCUUGGGAGCUGAGGACAUAUGUGACAGAACAUGAUGUGGUGGCGCACUCUGGUGGACACACUGAAAGAAAAGGGUGCACAGAGAAUUUACAAAUCCUAAUAAAAAACAACUUUUCACAUAGUUUACACAUGUAAAGUGUUAAUGUCCAACUAAGUGAUUUGUUUUCUUUAAUUUAAGGACAAAAUAACAUAAGUAACACACACAGAACAUCUGAUGUCUACAAGAA